CGGAGCGCCGCUGCCCCGCCCCCGAGGAGCCACCGCCCAGCCGCUCGCAGGCGCCGCACGGAGCUGCGUCCCGGGGACUUGGGGCCGCAGGGAGCCACAGCUGGAAGCUGCACCGCAUGGCCUGGAGCUGUCUAUCCAUCCUUGCAGCCACCUAUCUGUCCGUCGACCCUUCCACAUACUGAGGCUUGACGCCGGAGCAUCUGUACAGAGCAAGGAGAAGACAAGAACAUGCUCUAAAGCCCUUCACAGCAAGACCCAGGAAGCCGCAGGCAAACUCAGACUCGAAGCCCUCCCACCGCCUGCCCACAAUGGCCUCUGCUGACAAGAAUGGCGGGAGCGUGUCCUCUGUGUCCAGCAGCCGCCUGCAGAGCCGGAAGCCACCCAACCUCUCCAUCACCAUCCCGCCACCUGAGAAAGAGAACCAGGCCCCUGGCGAGCAGGACAGCAUGCUGCCUGAGAGGAAGAACCCAGCCUACUUGAAGAGCGUCAGCCUCCAGGAGCCACGCAGCCGAUGGCAGGAGAGCUCAGAGAAGCGCCCCGGCUUUCGCCGCCAGGCCUCGCUGUCCCAGAGCAUCCGCAAGGGCGCAGCCCAGUGGUUUGGAGUCAGUGGCGACUGGGAGGGGCAGCGGCAGCAGUGGCAGCGCCGUAGCCUGCACCACUGCAGCGUGCGCUACGGCCGCCUAAAGGCCUCGUGCCAGCGUGACCUGGAGCUCCCCAGCCAGGAGGCACCGUCUUUCCAAGGCACCGAGUCCCCAAAGCCCUGCAAGAUGCCCAAGAUUGUGGAUCCGCUGGCCCGCGGCCGGGCCUUCCGCCACCCGGAGGAGAUGGACAGGCCCCACGCCCCGCACCCGCCACUGACCCCCGGAGUCCUGUCCCUCACCUCCUUCACCAGCGUUCGCUCUGGCUACUCCCACCUGCCGCGCCGCAAGAGAAUGUCAGUGGCCCACAUGAGCUUUCAAGCUGCUGCUGCCCUCCUCAAGGGGCGCUCGGUGCUGGAUGCCACCGGACAGCGGUGCCGGGUGAUUAAGCGCAGCUUUGCCUUCCCGAGCUUCCUGGAGGAGGAUGCGGUCGAUGGGGCAGACACGUUUGACUCCUCGUUUUUUAGUAAGGAAGAAAUGAGCUCCAUGCCCGAUGAUGUCUUUGAGUCCCCCCCACUCUCUGCCAGCUACUUCCGAGGGAUCCCACACUCAGCCUCCCCCGUCUCCCCCGAUGGGGUGCAAAUCCCUCUGAAGGAGUGUGGCCGAGCCCCAGUCCCUGGGCCCCGGCGCGGGAAGCGCAUCGCCUCCAAGGUGAAGCACUUUGCCUUUGAUCGGAAGAAGCGGCACUACGGCCUGGGCGUGGUGGGCAACUGGCUGAACCGCAGCUACCGCCGCAGCAUCAGCAGCACCGUACAGCGGCAGCUGGAGAGCUUCGACAGCCACCGGCCCUACUUCACCUACUGGCUGACCUUCGUCCAUGUCAUCAUCACGCUGCUGGUGAUUUGCACGUAUGGCAUCGCACCCGUGGGCUUUGCCCAGCAUGUCACCACCCAGCUGGUGCUGCGGAACAAAGGUGUGUACGAGAGCGUGAAGUACAUCCAGCAGGAGAACUUCUGGAUCGGCCCCAGCUCGAUUGACCUGAUCCACCUGGGGGCCAAGUUCUCGCCUUGCAUCCGGAAGGACCGGCAGAUCGAGCAGCUGGUGCUGCGGGAGCGAGACCUGGAGCGGGACUCGGGCUGCUGCGUCCAGAACGACCACUCGGGCUGCAUCCAGACCCAGCGGAAGGACUGCUCGGAGACUUUGGCCACUUUUGUCAAGUGGCAGGAUGACACUGGGCCCCCCAUGGACAAGUCUGAUCUGGGCCAGAAGCGGACUUCGGGGGCUGUCUGCCACCAGGACCCCAGGACCUGCGAGGAGCCAGCCUCCAGCGGUGCCCACAUCUGGCCCGAUGACAUCACUAAGUGGCCGAUCUGCACAGAGCAGGCCAGGAGUAACCACACAGGCUUCCUGCACAUGGACUGCGAGAUCAAGGGCCGCCCCUGCUGCAUUGGCACCAAGGGCAGCUGUGAGAUCACCACCCGGGAGUACUGUGAGUUCAUGCACGGCUAUUUCCAUGAAGAAGCAACGCUCUGCUCCCAGGCCUCAGACUCAGCCUGCUUCUGGAGCGCUGAGCACCAUACGCCCACCUCCAGGUGCACUGCUUGGACAAGGUGUGUGGGCUGCUGCCCUUCCUCAAUCCUGAGGUCCCAGAUCAGUUCUACAGGCUCUGGCUGUCUCUCUUCCUACACGCUGGCAUGGUGCACUGCCUCGUGUCUGUGGUCUUUCAAAUGACCAUCCUGAGGGACCUGGAGAAGCUGGCCGGCUGGCACCGUAUCGCCAUCAUCUUCAUCCUCAGCGGCAUCACAGGCAACCUCGCCAGCGCCAUCUUCCUCCCAUACCGGGCAGAGGUGGGCCCGGCCGGCUCACAGUUCGGCCUCCUCGCCUGCCUCUUCGUGGAGCUGUUCCAGAGCUGGCCGCUGCUGGAGAGGCCCUGGAAGGCCUUCCUCAACCUCUCGGCCAUUGUGCUCUUCCUGUUCAUCUGUGGCCUCCUGCCCUGGAUCGACAACAUUGCCCACAUCUUCGGCUUCCUCAGUGGCCUGCUGCUGGCCUUUGCCUUCCUGCCCUACAUCACCUUUGGCACCAGCGACAAGUACCGCAAGCGGGCACUCAUCCUGGUGUCGCUGCUGGCCUUCGCCGGCCUCUUCGCCGCCCUCGUGCUCUGGCUGUACAUCUACCCCAUUAACUGGCCCUGGAUCGAGCACCUCACCUGCUUCCCCUUCACCAGCCGCUUCUGUGAGAAGUACGAGCUGGACCAGGUGCUGCACUGACCGCUGGGCCACACGCUGCCCCUCAGCACUGCUGGCACAGAGUCUGCCUGCGAGGGCUGCCCUCUGCAGAGCGCCCUGCGUGCCAGAGAGCCAGAGACCCAAGACAGUGCCCGGGCUCUGGACCCGGGUCCCCCCCUGCCGGGGGAGGCUGACUUCACAUGAGAUGGUUGAUUAAGGCGGGAUUUUUCGGGGGCGUGAGGCCUGUGUGAUCCUGGCCUAAGCUCGGGCACACCCAAGGCACCUGCCUCUCUGAGCCUUGGGUUCCAGGUCCCAACAUCCCGUUCCCUGCUGAGACCAUCUCCUGGGGCAGGGUCCUUUUCUUCCCAGGGUCCUCAGCGCUGUCUCUGCUGGUGCCUUCUCCCCCACUACUACUGGAGUGUGCCCUCGCUGGGGACGUGGCUGUGCCCUCAGUUGCCCCAAGGGCUGGGUGCCCACCAUGCCCCUUCCUGUUUCUCCUCCUACCUCUGCCCUGUGAGCCCAUCCAAAGGCUCUCAGAUGGGACAGUGUGGGAAAGGCUUUGGCCGUGGUCUGGGGGCAGAGAACAAGCGAGGAGACACAAGCAGACCUCAGGUAGAAUGAGACUGGGCGGAGCCACCCUCGGGCCUGCUCCCAGGGGGUGCUCGAGGAGCAUCAGGCCCGUUUUUUACCAGUUUAUAUCAUGGUCUUCAUUUUUAAAAGUAACGCUAACUUUGUACGGAUGAUGUCUCAUGGAUUAAAUAAUAUUCUUUAUGGCAGUA